rnacentral:rRNA from 1 species
GAGUUUGAUCUUGGCUCAGGAUGAACGCUAGCGGCAGGCUUAACACAUGCAAGUCGAGGGUAGAGGAGCUUGCUCCUUUGAGACCGGCGCACGGGUGCGUAACGCGUAUGCAAUCUACCUUAUACAGGGGAUAGCCCAGAGAAAUUUGGAUUAAUACCCCAUAGUAUUUUUGACCGGCAUCGGUUGAUUAUUAAAGUUCCAACGGUAUAAGAUGAGCAUGCGUCCCAUUAGCUAGAUGGUAAGGUAACGGCUUACCAUGGCAACGAUGGGUAGGGGUCCUGAGAGGGAGAUCCCCCACACUGGUACUGAGACACGGACCAGACUCCUACGGGAGGCAGCAGUGAGGAAUAUUGGUCAAUGGGCGCAAGCCUGAACCAGCCAUGCCGCGUGCAGGAUGAAGCAUCUAUGGUGUGUAAACUGCUUUUUGUACAGGAAGAAACACUCCCUCGUGAGGGAGC